GGUUGCGAUCAUACCAGCACUAAUGCACCGGAUCCCAUCAGAACUCCGCAGUUAAGCGUGCUUGGGCGAGAGUAGUACUAGGAUGGGUGACCCCCUGGGAAGUUCUCGUGUCGCAACCC
rnacentral:rRNA from 1 species